AGCCCCUAACAACCUCAAUGUACCUUUCAUGAGUUAGAUAUAGUUGCAUGCAUUUAGCUAAAUUACAGUUUAGAUUAUUAUAUUUUGUAAACCCAAAUUUCUCACAGUUACAGCUGUAUCUUCUCUUUUUCAUCACCUCCACCGCCUCCCUUGCCUCGUGAGAGAUGAAGAAGAAAAAGUGCAACCUUCAUCGGUGAUUUCAUUCUUAAGGCUAUCCAGCAUUCAAGUCAGGUCCUCCAACUCUUCCUGCUCUGCCCAUGACACCCCAAUUUAAAAGACUAAGAGGAUGCCCUCUUUAAUGUCAUGACACCAUCAGCCUCAGGGUGACAUUGCGACCUUCCCCACUUCAUGAGCACAUGAGCCAAACUCAGUGGAUCAUCCACUGAAUCUCAAGCCCCAGGGAGCCAUGGGCUGGUGCAGAGCUGCACAGAGCAAGGCAGGUGAGCCAGACCUGGCCAUAGGGGCAGCAAGGGGGGAACCUCUUCCUGCCUGAGGCUGGACAUGUCUAACAAAUUCCUAAGAUCAAAGCCAACUCCUGGUAUAUUCCUUUGCAGUCAGGGCAACAACGCUUAUUGAACCAAAACCUAAAAAUUUAUACCGUUAUUCUCACUUUAUGUUUUGCUUUGGCACAGCAGUCACACUCUUGCUGAACAUGUGCACGUGCAAGUCUAUCUCUAUUCAGUUAAGCACCCACUUAACUUUGAACAUGAGGUUUAAAUGCUUUUAAGGUUGUUGGGCAUCCAGAGGAUGUCUUGAAAUUAAAUAUGUGAUAAACUAUUUUGCUAGGGCCAUAAAACAACCUAAAAUGAAAGAAUGAAUGAAAGUAUGCAAAAAAAU